UACAGAGGUCUCAAGCGUUGUUCGGAUUCAUUGGGCGUAAAGGGUGCGUAGGCGGCGCGGUAAGUCGGGUGCGAAAUCUUGGAGCUUAACUCCGAAACUGCAUUCGAUACUGCCGUGCUUGAGGACUGGAGAGGAGACUGGAAUUUACGGUGUAGCGGUGAAAUGCGUAGAUAUCUGGAGGAACACCGGUGGCGAAGGCGGCAUCCUGGACCGGCAUUGACGCUGAGGCGCGAAAGCCAGGGGAGCAAACGGG
rnacentral:rRNA from 1 species